UUUACAACGAGGAGCUUGCUCCUCUGACGUUAGCGGCGGACGGGUGAGUAACACGUGGAUAACCUACCUAUAAGACUGGGAUAACUUCGGGAAACCGGAGCUAAUACCGGAUAAUAUAUUGAACCGCAUGGUUCANUAGUGAAAGACGGUUUUGCUGUCACUUAUAGAUGGAUCCGCGCCGCAUUAGCUAGUUGGUAAGGUAACGGCUUACCAAGGCAACGAUGCGUAGCCGACCUGAGAGGGUGAUCGGCCACACUGGAACUGAGACACGGUCCAGACUCCUACG
rnacentral:rRNA from 1 species